rnacentral:lncRNA from 1 species
GGGGCAUGGAGAUCUAAAAGAUACAAAACUAGGUGUCUGGGUUAGAGCAAAGAGAAGAAGAAGAGGGUCUUCUUCUAGAAUUACUGAGUUUAUCUUUUUCCUUCCUCCAUAUGUAAGUUUUCUAAGAGUGUCUCAUCUAAAACUCCUUCUCCUACUUUUCAUCUUUGGAAGAGUCCAAAUCAAGAAGAAAGAGGCAUCUGAUCGACCAUCG